rnacentral:rRNA from 1 species
AUUCCAGCUCCAAUAGCGUAUAUUAAAGUUGUUGCGGUUAAAAAGCUCGUAGUUGGAUUUCUGCUGAGGACGACUGGUCCGCCCCCUGGGUGAGCAUCUGGUUCGGCCUGGGCAUCUUCUUGGGGAACGUAUCUGCACUUGAUUGUGUGGUGCGGUAUCCAGGACUUUUACUUUGAGGAAAUUAGAGUGUUUCAAGCAGGCCCGCGCCUUGAAUACAUUAGCAUGGAAUAAUAAGAUAGGACCUCGGUUCUAUUUUGUUGGUUUCUAGAGCUGAGGUAAUGAUUAAUAGGGAUAGUUGGGGGUGCUAAUAUUGAGCGGCCAGAGGUGAAAUUCUUGGAUUCGCUCAAGACUAACUUAUGCGAAAGCAUUCACCAAGGAUGUCUUCAUCG